GUGCUCGCUUUGGCAGCACAUAUACUAACAUUGGAAAGAUAGAGAGAACAUUAGCAUGGCCCCUGCACAAGUAGGACACACAAAUUUGCAAAGCAUUCCAUAUUUUU